UCCAAGGGUGGUCAUUACAAAUGACAUUGUUGGGGAUCACUUCCAAAGGGAUCAAACCCGUUUUACAAAUGACGAAAUUGCAGCCUUACAAUUCUAUCGAUUUCCCAAAAAGAGGCCUCUUUUUUCAGAGCAGCAAUGGCAUUGGCAGAAUCACCCUCAAUGAUCACAUACGGGUGUCUGUAGUGCUUAGCCAUCGUGACUACAAGUAAGGGUGCAGAAGCUUCAGCUGUAAGAGGAGAUAAGCAGCCUACCAGCUUGGUGUGAACCCAUCUGGUAUUACCCUGGUCGUCGCGCGUAAUGGCCACAAGCAACGUGGACAGCGGCACACAGAUUCCGGCCGUUUCGUCCCGAAAACUCCACAGAAAGAAGAGGGUUCUUAAGAAUAAAGCUUGCCAUUAGCUUCGACGAGAAGGAUCUCAGGGAAAGCUUAAAAAUGUCAUCUUUCAAACCAAUCCUCGAUUUUCAUUAUCCAUUUAUUUACUUGAAAGAUGAUGUCAGAGUUCAAUUCUUCAAACACAUUGCUGAUCUUUCUGGAAAAACCAAUUUGACUCUUCUUGUCCUUGGUUUCACUGUUAUAAGUGGAGGGAAACAUGCUGGGAACAGUUUAGCAAUUCAGUGCCAGUAUAUCAUGUUGAUGCUGCAUUUCAGAAAGGGUUUGUUAAACAUACAAGUGCUACUCAGCAGCAAUUUGAGUCCACACAUUCUCCACUGGCUGCUGCUCUGAGGGAUGCAAUUAAUUCAGCGUCAACGAUCACUCGAACCUUAAGUGGAGAAUUAGCUGAUGGCCAACGUAAACUGAUGGCGUUUGCAGCUGCAGGUGCUAGCUCAAAAGGACCAAAUUCCUUGACAACACAGUUGAGCAAUGGUCCGCUUUCUAGUGUACAUGAAAUGGCGGAAUCACCUGUUGAUCCUAUUAAGGAAUUAUCAAGGCUGAUCGCUGAGCGCAAAUUUGAGGAAGCAUUUACAGGAGCCCUCCACAGAAGUGAUGUUUCCAUAGUUUCUUGGUUGUGUUCUUAGGUUGAUUUACCAGGAAUCAUGUCACUGGUGCCACUGCCAUUAAGCCAAGGAGUUGUACUGGCUCUUCUCCAACAAUUGGCAUGCCACAUAAACAAUGACAUGUCGAGAAAGUUGGCAUGGAUGACAGAUGUGGCUGUGGCCAUAAAUCCAACGGAUCCUUUGAUUGCAUUGCAUGUCCGGCCAAUCUUUGAACAAGUUUACCAAACACUUGAAUAUCAUCGCAAUCAAUCUACCACUUCAGCUUCAGAUAUCAACAGCAUUCGCCUUCUUAUGCACGUAAUCAACUCUGUGUUAAUGAGCUGUAAAUGACUGUUUAGACUCGUCUAGUAUUUGUUAGCACAACUUUGUUGUAUAGCAAGAAAUCUAGGAACCUCGCUUAGGACAUCUUUGUACUUUUAUGAUUUGUGUUGUAUAAAAAUAGUUUGUACUUUUUCCUCUUAUAAUGAUUUUUGUACUAUUGGUUGUU